rnacentral:rRNA from 1 species
GGUGCGGAAUAGCUCAGGGAAACUUGAGGUAAUACCGUAUAAGCCCCUAGGGGGAAAGAUUUAUCGCCAUUGGAUGGGCCCGCGUCGGAUUAGCUAGUUGGUGAGGUAAUGGCUCACCAAGGCGACGAUCCGUAGCUGGUUUGAGAGAAUGACCAGCCACACUGGGACUGAGACACGGCCCAGACUCCUACGGGAGGCAGCAGUGGGGAAUCUUGGACAAUGGGCGAAAGCCUGAUCCAGCCAUGCCGCGUGAGUGACGAAGGCCUUAGGGUUGUAAAGCUCUUUUGCCGGGGACGAUAAU